GCCAUAGCUCAGUCACAGAGCAUCUGCUUUGCACGCAGAAGGUCCCAGGUUCAAUUCCCACUGAGAGCA